CCCACCUGAUCCCCGGGCUUCGGCCUCCUCCUGAAAGGACAGAGCCCUGAGGGUGCAGCUUUGGAGAGACCUUACCUGCUGCAACAGGAGCCAGGGCCUGCUCCGGGGCCGGGUCUGAGCUGAUGAGGCUCUCGUACCUUCUGGAUGGCAGGUCCCAUCCCAUGGCUUCCAGGCAGCUGAGGAUCAUCUCCCCCACCCCGAGGAACUGCCUCAAGGUGACUUGGAGGACAAGCAACAAUCAUUUCAGUUCCAGACACACGGUGGGUGCUCAAGAACUUGAUGCUGUUUUCAAGAGAAACAUUCUUAUCAGGUCAAUCCACAGGCGGUUCUGGGUACAGUUGCAGGCCUUGUGCAAAGAAACCAGGGUGCGUGCCAAUUCAAGAAUCGAGCUCUCAAGGGCAAGCAGCUAUUUGUAUUGCUCACACCUGCGUAAAUAAAGGAACACAAGAUGAGGAGAAAAGUCACCAGAGGAACCACGGCCCACACAGGCACAAGGCAACUAUUCUGCGUGUAGAUGAAGCAUGGCUAAUGCCCAAGAAGCUUCCAUGAUGCUUCAAGACAUGACGGGGGAGCUUCUGGAAAGACGGCUGCAUCGUAGUUCCCUGCCCCCUGGAAGGCAACGUUAAGCUUAAUUUCCCGCUCCAGGUAUUGCUAGGCUUCGGAACUAAUACAACGGGAAGCAAGGGGUCAUUGUUCCUUUUCCAAACAACAAUGACGUAACAAAGCCUCAGUGACGACUUCUUACAUAGACAUUUAUGAUAGACACUUUUAGAUUUCUUUUUGAAAAUAAAAGAUAUGAAGGAAGAAUCAGUUGAAUCACUGGAAAGACGGCGACAAAAGCAUCUGAAAGAAGAAAUCAACAUUAGUACCUUUAAAUGUACUUCUUUGCGAGAUUGUCCAGCUUCAACAGAAUAUUCUAGAUUACGUCUCCAUGGGCCCCGGAAUAUAAACCGACCUGCAAUCCAUUGGGUGAUGGGGAAACAAAAACGCAGGGAAGUUGAUGAAGAUUGUAAUUUUUUUGAACAGCUUAGCCUGCUCGGGGCCUAGGUCUGAAUUCCACAAUAGUUUCUAUUUUUCUUCGGGUCCGAUCAUCCCGGCAAGGUGUAAAAGUGCCAUCUGGUUUGUCGGAAAGCUCCGGCCACUCCCCAGAUGGGACUGUGGACGUGUGAUUCCGGCACUGCUGCCGUCUAGCUACCUGUCAGUUGCUGUCUCACCAGCCGCCUCUCCCCGGCCCCACACACUGUUUGGGAAAAUCCUUAGCCUGUGCUUCCUACGACCCUGCAGCGCCUCACCCAGGGGCAAGCUGCUUGACUGCAAACCGGGCUCAGCAGUCAUGGUAUUUUCACUUGGGGCUCAUAUUUGCAACUCCCUUUGGUUUUCCCUAUGUACAUACAGCCUAAAAUGUGCAGAACGUGUUUCCUUUUGUCAGUCCUUUGGGCCUCUUGGGUUCCACAUCUCCUGCUGUUCAGACAUAACUUGCUGUCUUUUUGAGGCACCUGCCAGGAGAGCUCAGCUUGAGUUUUGUGAACCCCAUAUGCCCCUUAAAGCCAGACUCUGUCAAGCAUGUUUCUCAACCGCAGUGAAAUUCUGUUGUGAGAUUUAGCUGCUCAGAAAGCCACUAGCUGUCAGGUCGCGAAGGCUCCUUGGGACUUCUAAAAGUGAGUAGUGAAUAUGUCACAAGACUACAUUUGGAGUCAGAACUUCCAAAAACGCUCUCUCCUUACUAACAGAAAACCGUUUAACUACUUUCACAUGGUGUGUUAAUCGAUGUUAUUGUAUUCACAGAGAUUACGCCAAGAAGAUUAAAGGGCAUGCUAACGCUUUUGGGUCUAGUAAACCACGAGUGUCCUCAAACACAGGAAAAUUUCUGCAGAGUUGGAAUGCUUCUCCAGCAGGCAACCAACAUUCGUGAGCAAAAGACUUACUUUUAGGGAGCUUUCCAAGGGGACCCACCUGAUGCAAGAAUUCAAGCAUGGGUGCUUGGUGCAUGCGCACAAAUACAUACACACAGAGAAGUUAGGAUGUGUAACAUCGCUUCUGUGCACUUACGAGGAGUAAGAGAUGACCGGCUUUGCUCCCCGGUCUGGAAACACGGUUCUCUUGGUACGAAUGAUACCCUCAGCAGGGAGCUGAACUUUUCUGAGCUCUUUUUCCUAAGAACCUGGGCCAGGAUGAUGAGGUUCAAGGCAAGAUCACCAGCAACAGGGUGUCAGCUUUCUGCAGAACCGAGCCAGUUGAGUUUUAAAAACAUCAUCUUUCGAAUACUCAUUUUGUGCCCUACACUUUUUGUAUGUCUCUAAUCCUCCUUGUCCUGUGAUGAAGAUAUAAUAUUUCCUAAUUUUACAUACUGCUGAACACCCUUCUUUGCUUUGUUUUUCCCUACAGUACUUUUACU